GGAAGCGUUUCGUCACCGGUGUGGCGCCUGGACUUCAAAUCCAGUGGGCGGCUGCCAAGUCGCCGGUAGGUUCGACUCCUAUACGCUUCC
rnacentral:tRNA from 1 species